UACGUAGGGUGCAAGCGUUGUCCGGAAUCAUUGGGCGUAAAGCGCGCGUAGGCGGCCCGAUAAGUCCGCUGUAAAAGUCAACGGCUCAACUGUUGAAAGCCGGUGGAUACUGUCGGGCUAGAGUACGGAAGAGGCAAGUGGAAUUCCUGGUGUAGCGGUGAAAUGCGUAGAUAUCGAGAGGAACACCUGCGGCGAAGGCGGGUUGCUGGGCUGACACUGACGCUGAGGCGCGAAAGCUAGGGGAGCGAACGGG
rnacentral:rRNA from 1 species